rnacentral:misc_RNA from 1 species
UGCGGCUGGAUCCCCUCCUUUCUAGAGUUCCGAGCAAAGGCCUUUUUCACGAGAGACCGGCGCUCUACUCAGUUCUAAACCCCCACGGUGUUUGGGGUGCUGGAACGCAGAGGUAAACUUCCUAUCACUCCUCAGUUGUUGAGGUUGACCCUGGGCUUGUAGCUCAGUUGGUUAGAGCACUGUGCUGAUAACGCAGGGGUCACAGGUUCGAAUCCUGUCAAGCCCACUCACCCGGGCAGAAUGUCCUGGGGAUGUAGCUCAGCGGGAGAGCAGCGCCUUUGCAAGGCGAAGGUCACGGGUUCAAAUCCCGUCAUCUCCACUGAGUUAGAGAGUACGGAUCGGAGAGAAGCGAAACUUGUUGAGUGGUGUGAAGGUUUAGAAACAGUCAGAAUACACCGGAAUCGGAUCGUAAAACGACCCGGCGGUGUAUGCCGGGUCGAUUUGUGUCUCUGGAGCCCGGCAGGUUAACAAGUGAAGAUGGUUGAAGGGUGACCGAUGCCCUGGACAAGUUCGAGGGCGUCGUUCACCGGUCAACGGUGAUCGCACCUUAAAAACUGAAUAGCAAAUGAUGAUGUAGGCCGAUAAAGCAAUUUAUCGUAAGAAAAGUAUCAAAUUCUCCGCAUCACGUGGAGAAGCUACUAAGAGCUUAUGGUGAAUGCCUUGGCGCCAAGUGCCGAUGAAGGACGUGGGACACUGCGAAAAGCCUCGGGAAGCCGUGUACAGGCGCUGAUCCGAGGAUGUCCGAAUGGGGAAACCCGG